rnacentral:rRNA from 1 species
UGCGUAGGUGGUUUCUUAAGUCAGAGGUGAAAGGCUACGGCUCAACCGUAGUAAGCCUUUGAAACUGGGAAACUUGAGUGCAGGAGAGGAGAGUGGAAUUCCUAGUGUAGCGGUGAAAUGCGUAGAUAUUAGGAGGAACACCAGUUGCGAAGGCGGCUCUCUGGACUGUAACUGACGCUGAGGCACGAAAGCGUGGGGAGCAAACA